CCGGAUCAAUGAGAAAAUCCUUGCUGCACAUGAUCCUGCAGAAACAGAACAGCUGACAGCCUGGUGUCUUCGGCAAGGAGGGACGCAAGCAGACUGACGAGCCAAGAGGGGAGGAGAGCGAGGAAUCGGAGGAUGAGACUGUUUCACUUCAAACGAGGAAGAAGAUGAAGCUAACGCCCCUGGAGAAGCUUUUCGCUGAGGAUGAUAUCCUGAAAUUGAAGCAGUUUGACGAGGAGGAAGUGCAUCUCAUUGACAACAGUAACUUUGAACGCAUGAAAACUACGCUACAGCGCGAGUCAGGAUGCAGCGGCAUCAGAAGAGAAGUGAAAUACGUGCGAGGCCGUGCUGAUCUCCGC